ensembl:snoRNA Gm24625 small nucleolar RNA SNORA19
UUGCACAUUUCAUCGACCUUUCUUUUGAAUAUGUGAGCAGUGUUGUUUCUUACGUACUAUACAAGUAGUUGAAGGUAAUUAGCGAGUAACUGCCUAUAGUAAUUUUGUCAGUGUCCUUCAGACACAC